rnacentral:rRNA from 1 species
ACGCUGGCGGCAGGCCUAACACAUGCAAGUCGAGCGGUAGAGAGAAGCUUGCUUCUCUUGAGAGCGGCGGACGGGUGAGUAAUGCCUAGGAAUCUGCCUGGUAGUGGGGGAUAACGUUCGGAAACGGACGCUAAUACCGCAUACGUCCUACGGGAGAAAGCAGGGGACCUUCGGGCCUUGCGCUAUCAGAUGAGCCUAGGUCGGAUUAGCUAGUUGGUGGGGUAAUGGCUCACCAAGGCGACGAUCCGUAACUGGUCUGAGAGGAUGGUCAGUCACACUGGAACUGAGACACGGUCCAGACUCCUACGGGAGGCAGCAGUGGGGAAUAUUGGACAAUGGGCGAAAGCCUGAUCCAGCCAUGCCGCGUGUGUGAAGAAGGUCUUCGGAUUGUAAAGCACUUUAAGUUGGGAGGAAGGGCAGUUGCCUAAUACGUAACUGUUUUGACGUUACCGACAGAAUAAGCACCGGCUAACUCUGUGCCAGCAGCCGCGGUAAUACAGAGGGUGCAAGCGUUAAUCGGAAUUACUGGGCGUAAAGCGCGCGUAGGUGGUUUGUUAAGUUGGAUGUGAAAUCCCCGGGCUCAACCUGGGAACUGCAUUCAAAACUGACUGACUAGAGUAUGGUAGAGGGUGGUGGAAUUUCCUGUGUAGCGGUGAAAUGCGUAGAUAUAGGAAGGAACACCAGUGGCGAAGGCGACCACCUGGACUGAUACUGACACUGAGGUGCGAAAGCGUGGGGAGCAAAC